CCUUGCCGUGGUCGCGGUCGUGCGUGCCGGGGGCUCACAUGGUCAGCGCGCCGUCGAGCCGAGAUCGCACUGCCCCUCCCGGCGUACUACCUGCCCUUGCGGAUCCCACCAGCCAAUCCUGCAAGAUCGGGUACUUCGCGGGGCGCUGCACCGCGAUCCCUUCGAGCAAAUCCCGGCUCUGUUGACCGCCCGGCACCCCGACGCGGUGCCUGAGGACCCCGAUGCUUAACCCUGGUCCAACUUUUAGACGAUCCCUAUCUGUGCUGAGAGGCUGAUCACCCAAACUGGUCCUGACCCUGGGUCAACUCUUCUGCGGCAGGUGGCUUUGGGCAAUCCUGCGCUUUGGGAAAGACCUGGUUCGCCAUGCCGCGAGUGUGAAGAAGGCCUUCGCGUUGUAAACCACUUUCCGCGACGAGGAAGGAAUGAGACCUAAUAUGUAUCUCCCAGUGACGUUACUCGCAGAUGAAGCGACGGCUACCUCCGUGCCUGCCGUGCGCCGU
rnacentral:rRNA from 1 species